AGCGAACGCUGGCGGCAGGCUUAACACAUGCAAGUCGAACGGGCACUUCGGUGCUAGUGGCAGACGGGUGAGUAACACGUGGGAACGUACCUUUCGGUUCGGAAUAAUACAGGGAAACUUGUACUAAUACCGGAUACGCCCUUUGGGGGAAAGAUUUAUCGCCGAUUGAUCGGCCCGCGUCUGAUUAGCUAGUUGGUGAGGUAAUGGCUCACCAAGGCGACGAUCAGUAGCUGGUCUGAGAGGAUGAUCAGCCACACUGGGACUGAGACACGGCCCAGACUCCUACGGGAAGCAGCAGUGGGGAAUAUUGGACAAUGGGCGCAAGCCUGAUCCAGCCAUGCCGCGUGAGUGAUGAAGGCCUUAGGGUUGUAAAGCUCUUUUGUCCGGGAAGAUAAUGACUGUACCGGAAGAAUAAGCCCCGGCUAACUUCGUG
rnacentral:rRNA from 1 species